rnacentral:rRNA from 1 species
AGUGAACGCUAGCGGCAGGCUUAACACAUGCAAGUCGAGGGGCAGCGAGGGUAGCAAUACCUGUCGGCGACCGGCGGAAGGGUGAGUAACGCGUGAGCAACAUACCCGUAUCAGUGGGAUAAUACAGGGAAACUUGUUCUAAUAUCGCAUAAUAUUAUUCAGAGGCAUCUUUGGAUAAUUAAAGUUACGGCGGAUACGGAAUGGCUCGCGUGACAUUAGCUAGAUGGUAGGGUAAUGGCCUACCAUGGCGAUGAUGUCUAGGGGUUCUGAGAGGGAGGUCCCCCACACUGGAACUGAGACACGGUCCAGACUCCUACGGGAGGCAGCAGUGAGGAAUAUUGGACAAUGGAUGGAAAUCUGAUCCAGCCAUGCCGCGUGCAGGAAGGCGGCCCUAUGGGUUGUAAACUGCUUUUGUACGGGAGCAAUAAGGUCUACGAGUAGAUUGAUGAGAGUACUGUACGAAUAAGCAUCGGCUAACUCCGUG